GGGUUUGUACAAAUUCUAUUUGAUACCCUACAACAGUGUUGAAAACCCAAGCAUCGGACGUGAGCCCGUGCCAUGCCCCGAUAAAAUGGGAUAGUCUGCCCCCUACAUAGGAAGUACAAUACCGGGAAGCAGGAAGGGUACUCACCAUAAGGUCGUCGGCCGUAUGUAGCGCCUCUGCGUCCUCUGGGCUGCCAUGGCCUGACCCUGACAGGAAAGAAAGGUGAAGGGUUCCUGAUCUCCGGCUGUGGAAAUCUGGGUGCGGGGGAGCCUCGGUAGCCCCGAUAGGAGCCCCGUGAUGACCGGCUGGACAGACGGCCCCAUUGUCUGCCAGCCCCCUAAAAACCUUCGGGGCGAAUACCCACUUCAAGUUUGUUUGGGCCUUGUCCAGGGCCGUAAAGUAUUUACAUAAUUGCCUGAUUCCUUGACAAAAUUAUCCCCGAAGAGGAGACCCUUUGCCUUCGGCCCAGGUUCUUUAAUGGCCAU